rnacentral:lncRNA from 1 species
UUUUUCACAACUCCCAAAAAGUGAUGAGGAUAACUAAAUAUAUGUAUUAGAAUUUAGAAUCUCAUUUCCAUUAUUCUACCUAAAGUGCCGACCUUCUUCCCCAAACAAAAAAAAAACAGAGUCGCCAUCUUCCUCUUUCAAGUUAGAGUUUGUAGAGAAAUUUCAAGUAGCAACUGUAGUAUUUUGAAAGAAAAGGUGAAUUCUUAAAUUCUCUACCUAUUUGUGAUUCUAGCUUGAAGAAAAAAGGGUAUAUUUUGAAGUUUAGGGUUUCGAAAAUUUGGGGAUUUCAUGCUAGAGUUGAAGUAUGAUCUUAAUAUUGAGAUAUAUUAUGUUUUUGAUGUUCAUAAGCAUGAUUAUGGUGCUUAAUUGCGUAAAUUCUCACUGGAUUUUAAUUUUGCUCAAGAACCCUAGGUUGAGUUUGAGAGUUGUGAUUAUGUUCUUGAAUAAUUUAGUUCACAUAUGUGUUUUUGAGCUGGAAUUUAUGUCAUAUAUGAAUAAAUUAUGAGUUUACACCAUAUAGGAUGUGAGAUUGAGUUUGUUAGUUUAAUGGAAAUUAGGGCUUUUGAGUUAAGAAGGUUUAUAUGCUAUUAAUUGAUGAAUAUAGAUAUAUAUUAUGAUGUGAUUUUAUCAAAUAUGGAAAUUAGAACAGCCCUAAUGUAUGGAAAAUUGUUAUAAGAAUUGUUAUGUUGUAACUUGUUGGCUUUGUUGUGUUAAACAUGAGUUAAGUUUGAAGUUAAAGCAUUCUAGUAUGUAUUAUGAUCAUGUAUUUGAGUCUCUACACUUUUUAUUUGGCCAAAGUAUGAGUUAUAAGUUAAAUUGAAACAAAGAAUACAUUGCUGUCAGUUUUUAACUUGGCAGAACAGUGUCUCGUGGGAUGUUUUUGAUGAUGUUCCCGUAGUCCAAAUCUGUUGAAAUUUUUACAGUAAUAACUUCAUCAUGAGUAGUACGUGUCUGUAAAAUUUCAGCUAAAUCCAACACCAUUAGAUAUGUCGAACUAUUUUAUGAAAUGUACUGCGCGAAGCAGCGAAGUUCAGUGGCAGAUUUUGCCUUUCUUGAUAUAAUUUCUUAUACACUUGAGAUAUUGUGUUUCUGUAAAUUCAUGAUAAAUAUAGACUUUAAUAGAUUUCUAAAAAGGUAAAGCUUGUAUUUUUCUUUGAAGAAGUUGAUUUUAUAUGAUAUUUCAAAGUUAAGAUUCAUAUAUGAUUACAUAUUUGAGAUUUCUUACUUGAGCAAGUUAUUAAUAGAACUAUGCUAAGUGAUUGAUGUUUAGUUAUUAAUUGUAAGCUAAUCUAUAUAGAAUGGAUUAGUUUACUCUUAAGCUUUUCUCAAGUGGAGAUAUCCCAAGAGAUGUGAUGUUACUAUUUGCUUUUAGCUAAGUCCAUAUAAGUAGGAUACUCAAGUUAGAGGAUGCAACUUUCAAGUGAUAGAAGUUUCAUUCAAGAUUUACUUUCUACUUACUUAUUAUCCAAUCUUACUUGGGAACCUCAUUAUAAUGAAGGUUCGAAUGGCAGUGUAGAAUGAACAAGCAAGGACUUCUAUUUCAUUAAGCGUAUCAGGUGGGCUUACUAACUCAAGAGAUAAAGAUGCAUACUUUAUUAUAUAAAGUUUGAGUGUAUGCAUUUAUUUACAAAUUAUUGACUUGCCAAUCUUUGAGUUUUGUAUGAUACCAUCUACAUAGAAGAACGAAUUCGGGUCCUGAGCGAGUCAGGAUUUGUGUACACAGAGUUGACAGUUAACCUUUGUGUUAGCUUGUCAUCGUGUUUGAGAAGGAGGCCUACUUCUCAACACUCAGAGUUAUAUGAUGCGUAGAUAUGGUACAUACAUGUUAAUGUCUGCAGACGUAUAUGAUGUUAUAUAUGAUGAUUAUAGAGAAGUUUUACAGUUUUUGCGUGCACAGGUUAUUUAAGUAAAACUCUGUGUGAUGCUUGAAAUGGCAAGUUCAAUAUAUAGCUCUAAGAGCAAGCUUUUAAGUUAUUUCGGCAUGACCACUGAGUGCUUUUUGGUACUCAGCCCUGCGUAUGUUUUUAAAUAUGCAGGUUAAGCUGUGAUGCAGAUGGUAGCAAGCAGAGCAAAGCCUUCGGUGUAUAUAUGUAUAAUUUAGGCUCGGGAUUUCAUGUCCUCAUACAUGUAAUACACUUGAGUUAUUUCCGCUGCAACACUUAAUGUACUUACUUUAUUGAGUGUUGUAGAGAUUUUAAACCAAUAGCUU